ACGCUCGACACCUACGGGAGGUAGCAGUGGGGAAUAUUGCACAAUGGGGGAAACCCUGAUGCAGCAACGCCGCGUGAAGGAAGAAGGUUUUCGGAUCGUAAACUUCUAUCAAUAGGGACGAAGGAAAUGACGGUACCUAAAUAAGAAGCCCCGGCUAACUACGUGCCAGCAGCCGCGGUAAUCUGAGCGGGCUGGCAAGGC
rnacentral:rRNA from 1 species